AUUGAACGCUGGCGGCAUGCCUUACACAUGCAAGUCGAACGGAUCAGAGGAGCUUGCUCUUCUGGUUAGUGGCGAGCGGGUGAGUAAUGCAUCGGAACGUACCCAGUAGUGGGGGAUAACGUAGCGAAAGUUACGCUAAUACCUCAUACGACCUGAGGGUGAAAGCAGGGGAUCGCAAGACCUUGCGCUAUUGGAGCGGCCGAUGUCGGAUUAGCUAGUUGGUAGGGUAAAAGCCUACCAAGGCGACGAUCCGUAGCUGGUCUGAGAGGACGACCAGCCACACUGGGACUGAGACAUGGCCCAGACUCCUACGGGAGGCAGCAGUGGGGAGUUUUGGACAAUGGGGGAAACCCUGAUCCAGCCAUGCCGCGUGAGUGAAGAAGGCCUUCGGGCUGUAAAGCUCUUUCAGACGGAAAGAAAUCUUCCGGGCUAAUACCUCGGGAGGAUGACGGUACCGUAAGAAGAAGCACCGGCUAACUACGUGCCAGCCGCCGCGGUAA
rnacentral:rRNA from 1 species